GGGGGUGAACUGGCUUCGACGGGGGCGAGGAAGCUUAGGAUUGCGUGCCGUGGUCGCCGUGUCCACGAUAAAAAGCGGUAAACCAUAAGUGCCAAUUACGAUUACGCACUGGCUGCCUAAUAUAAUUAGGUAACCCGUUCUCUCCGAUUCAGCCCAUAGAAUUUGAGAAGAACGUCGAAUAUAUUGGGCUAGUUCUUUCUUUUACUCAAGGAGAAAGGAUGAAUUCGUUGAAAAACGGAUUACUUGAGCUGGCGAGAGGUUAAUCCAGUCUGCCGGAGUUUCCUCUCGUGAGAUCUAAUGGCAGAAUAUGCGCGUAGAUGUCUUAAGGAUCUUCUCUUCGGACCGGGGUUCGACUCCCCGCACCUCCACAU
rnacentral:tmRNA from 1 species